ACUCAAAGGAAUAGACGGGGGCUCACACAAGCGGUGGAGUAUGUGGAUUAAUUCGAAGCAACGCGAAGAACCUUACCUGGGUUUGACAUGUACGGAUGCUCUUCUGGAAACAGGAGUAGGCUGCCUUCGGGUGAAACGUGCACAGGUGCUGCAUGGCUGUCGUCAGCUCGUGCUGUGAAGUGUCGGGUUAAGUCCCUCAACGAGCGAAACCCCUAUCGUUAGUUACCAGCGGGUCAUGCCGGGGACUCUAACGAGACCGCCGGCGUCAAGCCGGAGGAAGGCGGGGACGACGUCAAGUCAUCAUGGCCCUUAUGCCCAGGGCGUCACACGUACUACAAUGGUCGAAACAGAGCGACGCGAGACCGCAAGGUGGAGCAAAUCGCAUUAAAUUCGGCCUCAGUUCAGAUCGUAGUCUGCAAUUCGACUGCGUGAAGCUGGAAUCGCUAGUAAUCGCGCAUCAGCCAUGGCGCGGUGAAUGUGUUCCUGAGCCUUGUACACACCGCCCGU
rnacentral:rRNA from 1 species